rnacentral:lncRNA from 1 species
AUGGAAAGGAACACGCAAGGUGAUCAUCUCCGAAAGAUCAAAAUAGUGGCUCAGAAUUUUGACAAUGACAGCAAGUCAUAUGGUAGAAGGAUGGAAAGGAACACCCAAGUGGCCAAAUUUGUGGAGCAUGUUCAGUACAGAUUUUUGUCAAGUAGAGGUAGAGUUCAGAUAUACAUGCAGAGAACAGCACUGUUCACCAACCCUUUCUCCAAAUCCUUCAAACAACUUGAUCUUUCAAGUCACAGGAUGAGUCACCUGCAGAAAGCGGAUUAUUCAGACAGUAUCAGCUCUGCGGCUAAUGCUUAUCCACAAAACCAAAGUGCAAGUGAUCUUCCACACAAUCUUGGAGGCAAGGAAUCGAAUAAUCCCAGUAACCCAAGCUCGUUAACUAAACUGACACGAUUUUCCAACGAUGUAACAGCCGAUGGACACCCGUAUGCCGUCGAGAAGAUUAGAGAAGAUUCUUCAGGCACAGUAACACAAAGACAGCAGCUACCAUUGCAUCUCACCAGAUGUGAAUUCUACCAGUCAUUUCUGAAAGCACAGAUCAGCAUGUUGUGAAUAGAUACUA